GAAGUCUAGAUUAGGGAAGAGGUUCAAGGUAAUGAGAGUGCGGUGGUUCGCAGUGAUCAUCAGAGCUAUGGUGCAAUAAGGUGCCAAGCUAUCUGGCUACAUCAGGUGUAAAAUGGGUAGCAGAAAGAAUUUAACCAGCAUGGCUAUGUCUCAUCUUGGACAGUUCAUAGGACAAAAUAUUGGAGAUAAUCAGACUCCCUGAGUAGAAAGAGAAAACAUACAUGUUCUGUUACAUCAGGGAGCAACUAACAAGAUUCUUGACUCUGAACCUUUUAGAGUUCAGUACAUGCUGCAAAUAAGUUGGAUUUGUUUUUCCACUGACAAUUUUUAUUUUAAA
rnacentral:lncRNA from 1 species